rnacentral:rRNA from 1 species
AGAGUUUGAUCCUGGCUCAGGAUGAACGCUAGCGGCAGGCUUAACACAUGCAAGUCGAGGGGCAGCAUAAUGGAUAGCAAUAUCUAUGGUGGCGACCGGCGCACGGGUGCGUAACGCGUAUGCAACCUACCUUUAACAGGGGGAUAACACUGAGAAAUUGGUACUAAUACCCCAUAACAUCAUGAAAGGCAUCUUUUAUGGUUGAAAAUUCCGAUGGUUAGAGAUGGGCAUGCGUUGUAUUAGCUAGUUGGUGAGGUAACGGCUCACCAAGGCGACGAUACAUAGGGGGACUGAGAGGUUAACCCCCCACACUGGUACUGAGACACGGACCAGACUCCUACGGGAGGCAGCAGUGAGGAAUAUUGGUCAAUGGACGCAAGUCUGAACCAGCCAUGCCGCGUGCAGGAAGACGGCUCUAUGAGUUGUAAACUGCUUUUGUACGAGGGUAAACUCACCUACGUGUAGGUGACUGAAAGUAUCGUACGAAUAAGGAUCGGCUAACUCCGUGCCAGCAGCCGCGGUAAUACGGAGGAUUCAAGCGUUAUCCGGAUUUAUUGGGUUUAAAGGGUGCGUAGGCGGUUUGAUAAGUUAGAGGUGAAAUCCCGGGGCUUAACUCCGGAACUGCCUCUAAUACUGUUAGACUAGAGAGUAGUUGCGGUAGGCGGAAUGUAUGGUGUAGCGGUGAAAUGCUUAGAGAUCAUACAGAACACCGAUUGCGAAGGCAGCUUACCAAACUAUAUCUGACGUUGAGGCACGAAAGCGUGGGGAGCAAACAGGAUUAGAUACCCUGGUAGUCCACGCAGUAAACGAUGAUAACUCGUUGUCGGCGAUACACAGUCGGUGACUAAGCGAAAGCGAUAAGUUAUCCACCUGGGGAGUACGUUCGCAAGAAUGAAACUCAAAGGAAUUGACGGGGGCCCGCACAAGCGGAGGAACAUGUGGUUUAAUUCGAUGAUACGCGAGGA